UUCCCCUUCCCUGGGCAAAGAGACACCUUGUUGGUAGUGUUGUUUUUAUAUCAGUCAGGCAGAGCAGACACAGUCCUUUGUUUAUCCUAGCUUGAUACCUGGCUUGGUGGCCGAAGCUGUUUUAUGCCUCAGACGUAUAA
ensembl:snoRNA